CCUGCGGGGAGCAGUCGUGGGACGCACAGCACUUUGCAUGCAGUGUGGUAGGCCUGAAGGGUGGUGGUCACUUGAACAGAGUGUUGUUGUUUGUCCUUGAAGUGUAAGUUGUGGAAGUGAUCACUGUGAUCCUCCAUUCCACUUCUACCAUUUUAAAUAAAGAUUUAAUUAUGAACUGAA